rnacentral:rRNA from 1 species
GAUGAACGCUGGCGGCGUGCCUAAUACAUGCAAGUCGAGCGAACGGACGAGAAGCUUGCUUCUCUGAUGUUAGCGGCGGACGGGUGAGUAACACGUGGAUAACCUACCUAUAAGACUGGGAUAACUUCGGGAAACCGUAGCUAAUACCGGAUAAUAUUUUGAACCGCAUUGUUCAAUAGUGAAAGACGGCCUUGCUGUCACUUCUAGAUGCAUCCGCGCUGCAUUAGCUAGUUGGUAAGUUAACGGCUUACCAAGGCAACGAUGCAUAGCCGACCUAAGAGGGUGUUCGGCCGCACUAGAACUUGGACACGGUCCAGGGGCCUACGGGAGGGAGCAGAAGGGAAUCGUCCGCAAUGGGCGAAAGCCUGGCGGAGCAACGCCGCGUGAGUGAUGAAGGUCUUCGGAUCGUAAAACUCUGUUAUUAGGGAAGAACAUAUGUGUAAGUAACUGUGCACAUCUUGACGGUAACUAAUCAGAAAGCCACGGCUAACUACGUG